rnacentral:rRNA from 1 species
GACGAACGCUGGCGGCGUGCUUAACACAUGCAAGUCGAACGAUGAAGCUGGAGCUUGCUCCGGUGGAUUAGUGGCGAACGGGUGAGUAACACGUGAGAAAUCUGCCCUUGACUCUGGGAUAACUGCGGGAAACUGUAGCUAAUACCGGAUAUUUUCCUUGGUGGGCAUCCACUGGGGAAGAAAGAAUUUCGGUCAAGGAUGAUCUCGCGGCCUAUCAGCUAGUUGGUGAGGUAAUGGCUCACCAAGGCGACGACGGUUAGCCGGCCUGAGAGGGUGACCGGCCACACUGGGACUGAGACACGGCCCAGACUCCUACGGGAGGCAGCAGUGGGGAAUAUUGCACAAUGGGCGCAAGCCUGAUGCAGCAACGCCGCGUGAGGGAUGAAGGCCUUCGGGUUGUAAACCUCUUUUAGCAGGGAAGAAGCGAAAGUGACGGUACCUGCGGAAAAAGCACCGGCUAACUACGUGCCAGCCGCCGCAGUAA